GGAGAGGUAUCGAAGUGGUCAUAACGAGGCGGUCUUGAAAACCGUUUGCCUUCACGGGCACAUGGGUUCGAAUCCCAUCCUCUCCG
rnacentral:tRNA from 1 species